rnacentral:rRNA from 1 species
UACGUAGGGUGCUAGCGUUGUCCGGAUUUAUUGGGCGUAAAGGGCUCGUAGGCGGCGUGUUGCGUCGGGAGUGAAAGCCCGCUGCUUAACGGCGGGUUGGCUUCCGGUACGGGCAUCGCUGGAGUGCGGCAGGGGAGACUGGAAUUCCUGGUGUAGCGGUGGAAUGCGCAGAUAUCAGGAGGAACACCGGUGGCGAAGGCGGGUCUCUGGGCCGUUACUGACGCUCAUGCACGAAAGCGUGGGGAGCAAACAGG